rnacentral:tRNA from 1 species
GAGGGUAUAGUGUAGUGGAUAUCAUCAGGGGCUUCGGAUCCUUGGACUCCGGUUCGAAUCCGGAUACCCUCG